GUCUAAGGACAGACCACCCUGAACAGGUCUGAUCUUGUCUGAUCUCAAAAGCUAAACAGGGUUGGGCCUGGUUAGUACUUGGAUGGGAGAAGUUGACAGUAGCAAAAACCUCAUGAAAGAGGUCUAGAUAGUAGCUC
rfam:Mustela putorius furo unplaced genomic scaffold scaffold00526, whole genome shotgun sequence.